rnacentral:misc_RNA from 1 species
GUAGGUGAACCUGCGGAAGGAUCAUUAGAGAUUGGCCUCUGGCCGUGUCUAUUCCACACACACCGUGAACUGUAUGUACGUCUUGGGGCUCUCGGGCCCCCGACGCAAAACACCAAAAACCUUAGCGUGAUGAAUGUAAAUUGUCGUAACAAAAACAAAACUUUCAACAACGGAUCUCUUGGCUCUC